CUGAGGCUUUGUGAGCUUUGCUUUUGGAACUUGUUUCUUUUGUGUUUUAGGUGCUGACCCUGUCCCAGAUCCUGCCAGGGAGGGAACUGUGCUCAGGAGCAGCCCUUGCAGACGUGCUUGUUGAGGUCAGGGGAGAGCUCACAACUGGAUGUUGCAUUUCCUUCUUGGAGUAGACAAAGUGAAGGGAAUCAAAGGGCUCAUCUCAGCUAUAAAGACACAUGAAAGAAU
rnacentral:lncRNA from 12 species